AUUUGCAACAGCUCGAAAGGGAAAGUCCAAAGAGGACAACAUGCAAGUUGGUAAUGUUACAAGAACUUGGAAGAACGAGCGCAAGGGCCGCAUUGAUGGGCAGUGGAACAGGCACAUUAGCAGUAAGUAAAAGGCAGACACAGUCCAUGCUUACCCCCGAGAGCGAACUCAGUGUGGUGCAGCAACUCUCCUUUUGUGAAGAACCAUUGCUGCUACUUCCAGUGAUGACAUUGAAACAUGGGGUGAAAUUGUUGAUCAUUGAGGCCGUGCAAGGCGAACGAAUCUGCCCUUCAACUGAACAACUCCUUAAGAUAGUUGCUGCAACUGAGAUGAACGCUAAGGCCUUCAAAAUCGCCAUUGAAAUGAACAGAGAAGUUCAAGAGAAUUUGCAGUCCUGCCAUCUUUCAAUGGGAAGUUUGUUGUAGUUUAUGUAAGUUAAGGGAAUUUGAAGGGUCAGUCUGGUAGAUUUGAAUCUUGGGUUUUGGGGUUCAACCAACUUCAAUGAACCAAGUUAUACUUCACCAUUGUAAGGUCAAUAGUUUGGAGCUUCCAUUGGGUGGAGUUUGGCAUGUUGGUUACACCAAUAAAGCCUUUGUAUCUUAAUGAACUUUUCCGGAACUCAAGUUUCAAACCGUAUGACGUCAAGAUCUACACACGAUCAUGACUAAUCUUAUAGAGAAUUCAAGUUCGGUAUACUUUUUUGUUUA